rnacentral:tRNA from 1 species
GGAUCUAUAAGCUCAAAAUGGUACGAGCGCUCGUUAAUUGAGAGGUUGAUGGUUCGAAUCCAUCUAGAUCCG